GAAUCAAUCUACGUUAGCAAUUAUACCGUGAACUGCGAAUGGCUCAUUAAAUCAGUUAUCGUUUAUUUGAUAAUACCUUACUACUUGGAUAACCGUGGUAAUUCUAGAGCUAAUACAUGCUGAAAAUCCCGACUUCGGAAGGGAUGUGUUUAUUAGAUAAAAAACCAAUGCCCUUCGGGGCUUUUUGGUGAUUCAUGAUAACUUUACGGAUCGCAUAGCCUUGCGCUGGCGACGGUUCAUUCAAAUUUCUGCCCUAUCAACUUUCGAUGGUAAGGUAUUGGCUUACCAUGGUUUCAACGGGUAACGGGGAAUUAGGGUUCGAUUCCGGAGAGGGAGCCUGAGAAACGGCUACCACAUCCAAGGAAGGCAGCAGGCGCGCAAAUUACCCAAUCCCGACACGGGGAGGUAGUGACAAUAAAUACUGAUACAGGGCUCUUUUGGGUCUUGUAAUUGGAAUGAGUACAAUUUAAACCUCUUAACGAGGAACAAUUGGAGGGCAAGUCUGGUGCCAGCAGCCGCGGUAAUUCCAGCUCCAAUAGCGUAUAUUAAAGUUGUUGCAGUUAAAAAGCUCGUAGUUGAAACUUGGGUCUGGCUGGCGGGUCCGCCUCACCGCGUGCACUCGUCCGGCCGGGCCUUCCUUCUGAAGAACCUCAUGCCCUUCACUGGGCGUGUUGGGGAAUCAGGACUUUUACUUUGAAAAAAUUAGAGUGUUCAAAGCAGCCUUUGCUCGAAUACGUUAGCAUGGAAUAAUAAAAUAGGGCGUGCGUUUCUAUUUUGUUGGUUUCUAGAGACGCCGCAAUGAUUAACAGGAACAGUCGGGGGCAUCAGUAUUCAGUUGUCAGAGGUGAAAUUCUUGGAUUUACUGAAGACUAACUACUGCGAAAGCAUUUGCCAAGGAUGUUUUUCAUUAUCAGUGAACGAAAGUUAGGGAUCGAAGACGAUCAGAUACCGUCGUAGUCUUACCCGUAACUAUGCCGACUAGGAUCGGGCGAUGUUCUUUUUCUGACUCGCUCGGCACUAACGAGAAUCAAGGUUUUUGGUCUGGGGGAUUAUGGUCGCAAGGCUGAACCUAGGAUAUUACGAGCGAGAAGUCUUAUCUGUGUUCUCUUUCUGCUUCUAU
rnacentral:rRNA from 1 species